GUCCACGCCGUAAACGAUGGAUAUUAGUUGUUGCGGGUUUAAACCUCGCAGUGACGACGCUAACGCAUUAAAUAUCCCGCCUGGGAAGUACGGCCGCAAGGUUAAAACUCAAAGGAAUUGACGGGGGCCCGCACAAGCGGUGGAGCAUGUGGUUCAAUUCGACGCAACGCGAAGAACCUUACCUAGACUUGACAUCUGGAGAAUCCCUCCGAAAAGAGGGAGUGCUCGCAAGAGAGCUCCAAGACAGGUGCUGCAUGGCUGUCGU
rnacentral:rRNA from 1 species